AUUUAUAAAAUUAAUUAUUUUUUUUAGUAAUUUUAAGUUAAAAAAAAUAUUUUUUUUUUUAUUAUUUUUUAAGAAAAAAAUUUUUUAAUUAUAGUUUUAACAGUAAUGGUAUUUUAAAUAAUAAUAAAAGUAAAAUUAAUUUUUUGUACCUUUUGUAUCAGGGUUAAUUAAUUAAUUUAUUUUUUUUAAUAUAUCUCGAAAUUAGAAGAGUUAAAUAAUUAUAAUAGUUUAUAUUUUAUAAUAAUUAUUAAUAUUUAUUUAGGAAUUAUAUGUUAUUCAUUUUUAAUAUAUCUAGUUAUUUAAUAAAUAAAUUAAAUUUAAAAUAUAAUAAUUUUAAUAUUCAUAAAUUUAUUUAAUUUAUUAUAUUUAAUAAUUUAAGGGAUAAGCUUUAAUAUUAUUUUUAUAAAAAAAUUUAUAAAUAAAUUUUUGUAGGUUUAAUAAUAUCUAUCAUUUAUUUUGUUAUAAUUAAAAUUUUAAAUUUAUGAUUUUAAUUAUUUUUAAUUUAUUAUUAAAUUUAAAAUUUUAAUUAUUUAAAUUUUGUAAUAAUGAUUAAAUUAUUAAUUUUGAAAAUUUAAUUUUAUGAAUUCGGCAAAUUUUAUUUUCACCUGUUUAAUAAAAACAUGUCUUAAAGUUUUUAAUUUUAAGUUUAAUCUGCUCAAUGAAUUUUAAAUAGCUGCAGUAUUUUAACUGUACUAAGGUAGCAUAAUCAUUUGUUUUUUAAUUGAAAACUAGUAUGAAAGAUUUGAUGAAAAAUUAACUUUAUUAAAUUUAUUUAAAUAAAUUUAAUGUUUAAGUUAAAAUGCUUAAAUUUAUUUAUAGGACGAGAAGACCCUGUAGAACUUUAUAUAAAUACUAAAUUUUUAAAUUAAUUUUGAUUAUUAAAUUUAGUAUUUAUAUUUAAUUGGGGUGAUUAAAAAAUUUUAUUAACUUUUUUUUUUUUAUUCAUUAAUUUAUGUUUAAUUGAUCCAAUAUUAUUGAUUAUAAGAAUAAGUUACCUAAGGGAUAACAGCGUAAUUUUUUUUGAGAGUUCUUAUCGAUAAAAAAGUUUGCGACCUCGAUGUUGAAUUAAGAUAAUUUAUAGGUGUAGAAGUUUAUAAAAUAAGUCUGUUCGACUUUUAAAUUCUUACAUGAUUUGAGUUUAAAUCGGCGUAAGCCAGAUUGGUUUCUAUCCUUAAAUAUAUAUAAUAUUUUAGUACGAAAGGACCAAAUAUUAAAAAUAAUUUUAACUAUUUAUAAUAAUAAAUA
rnacentral:rRNA from 1 species